AAUCCUAAUUAUUUUUUGAGUCAUACAAAACAGCAUUAAAAUAGAUAAUAAAUUUAAAAGGAUCUACUGGAGUUUUUUUGAUUAAUAAACACUAAGCACAAGAGGCUUGCUUUUAAUGAUUCUUUGAACAGUUACAACAUGUUAGUGCAACUUACCAAAUGUAGAGAAUGCAAGCCAACCGCUGAAUACUGGACUCUCAUUCAAACGCUGGAGCGGAGGGAGUUGCCAUGGAAACGGGGCAACAACACCAACUGCAAACCGUAAAUCUCCAUUUCUCGCUGCUGUUUUCACUGCUUUCAGAAAACUUCGAAAGAGUCCGUUAUCAUCGCAAGUGUUUUUUUUUUUUUAGGUGAGGUAAGCUAACUCUAUAGCUUGAGCUCUUUUUAAUGAGAGUUUGGGCUUUUAAUCACAUCUUUAUGUAUAGAUGAGAAGUUUUGAUAGCUUUGUAAAGGGUUUGCUGUCAGUUUGUCCACGGUAUAUUGAAAGUUGUCUAGCUUAUUAAAUAUGCGCUGUACUGUUAAUCGGUGACGUCACUUACAAGGAGCGCAAAUUAACUGAAUCUAACGUUAGUUCAAACGUAUUUUUAUCUUUCAUGGUAAACAAAUAUUGAUCAAAUUUCUUCUGUGGUUUCAGGAAUGAGAAUAUAAUCUCUCUACAACAGAAGAGAAGCUCCAAAAUGUCAAAGUAUCUGAAGGGAGCUGCUGACAGAAAUAUUCUUCUAUAAUGAUGGCCGUUCAGCAGAGUUGGAGCAGACCUCCUGUCGGACAACAUCUCUUAGACACUAUGAACCAUGUUACUAGAUCCUAUGUACCCACCCUCAACCAUUCAUCAAAAGGACUGUAAAGGUGGGAAUUCUCUGAACAACCAGGGGCAGUUUCCACGGGAUGAAAAAGGGCAUACUAGUGGAUGAUGGGAGUAUUGACAUUAACCUGUUGUAUUCACUGUAUUACACAUUUUUGUCAGUUUUCCAUUUCAAGUACUGGUGGUUUUGAUUUUGUCUGGAUGGCAUGCUUUCCUAACACUAAUGGGUACGACUUGGCUGGGCACGGCUCAGUACGGUACGGCUCGGAUCCACAAUAGACAACAAAACUUUUUGAUUGUUAAAAAAGGUGCUCGUUCAAAACAGUUGCGUUCGAUCCUUUGCUGCUGUGGUGAUUUAAAUCUAGCGGUUCUUUUGUGUUUGUGUCACAAGUUCAGUGACGCAGGAAGUGACAAUUCUCUCUGGCCAAUCCGUGAUCAGCAGAGUUUACACAUCACAUUUUGGUAUAACGGUACGGUUCACUUGGAACCUCAACCGAGGUGGUACUAAAAAAAGUACCAGGUACCAGGUACCCAGUGGAAAACCCCCCAAAAGUGAACCGUACUGAGCCGUUCUGUGCCGUACCAGGCAGUGGAAAAGCGCCAUAAUAAGUCAAAGCUCAGGUACCACAUAAAAUGCGGCCAUGAGCAAACAGAAAAAGAGAAAUAUAUAAAGUGAGGUUAUCAUCAAGUACUCAGACUUAACAGCGAUGAUUGAUCAUGAAACUAAUGAUUACAGUGACUUUAAAAAUUUUUUUAAUUAUUGCUGUCAUGUCUGAGUACUUCCAGUACUUGUGCACAUCCCUAUUAAACACAUAUACACGGUAUUGAGGUAUGAUGUAAUACUGCAUUGAUGUAUACUGUAAAUGCAAUAAACAUUUUAAUCAUA
ensembl:lncRNA